GACGAAGGGGGCUAGCGUUGUUCGGAAUUACUGGGCGUAAAGCGCGUGUAGGCGGUUGUCCAAGUUGGAUGUGAAAGCCUUGAGCUCAACUCAAGAAAUGCAUUCAGGACUGGAUGACUAGAGGACCGGAGAGGAUAGUGGAAUUCCCAGUGUAGUGGUGAAAUACGUAGAGAUUGGGAAGAACACCAGUGGCGAAGGCGGCUCACUGGACCGGUACUGACGCUGAUGCGCGAAAGCGUGGGGAGCAAAAGGG
rnacentral:rRNA from 1 species